CCCUUAGAUGUUCUGGGCCGCACGCGCGCUACACUGAUGCAUUCAACGAGUCUAAAACCUGCUCUGAUAGGGGUGGAUAAUCUUUUGAAUGUGCAUUGUGAUUGGGAUAGAUGAUUGCAAUUUUUCAUCUUCAACGAGGAAUGCCUAGUAAACGCAAGUCAUCAGCUUGCAUUGAUUACGUCCCUGCCCUUUGUACACACCGCCCGUCGCUCCUACCGAUUGAAUGAUCCGAUGAAUAUCAUGGAUUGAGGAUGCAAGUAGGUUCGCCUAUCUUCAUCUUCGAGAAGUGAAGUAAAUCUUAUCAUUUAGAGGAAGGAGAAGUCGUAACA
rnacentral:rRNA from 1 species